rnacentral:rRNA from 1 species
CCUACGGGGGGCAGCAGUGAGGAAUAUUGGUCAAUGGGCGUAAGCCUGAACCAGCCAAGUCGCGUGAGGGAUGAAGGUUCUAUGGAUCGUAAACCUCUUUUAUAAGGGAAUAAAGUGCGGGACGUGUCCCGUUUUGUAUGUACCUUAUGAAUAAGGAUCGGCUAACUCCGUGCCAGCAGCCGCGGUAAUACGGAGGAUCCGAGCGUUAUCCGGAUUUAUUGGGUUUAAAGGGUGCGUAGGCGGCCUUUUAAGUCAGCGGGGAAAGUCUGUGGCUCAACCAUAGAAUGGCCGUUGAAACUGGGAGGCUUGAGUGUGUGUAGGGCAGGCGGAAUGCGUGGUGUAGCGGUGAAAUGCUUAGAUAUCACGCAGAACCCCGAUUGCGAAGGCAGCCUGCCAGGCCAUGACUGACGCUGAUGCACGAAAGCGUGGGGAUCAAACAGGAUUAGAUACCCUAGUAGUC